AGGUGGUGCAUGGUUGUCGUCAGCUCGUGUCGUGAGAUGUUGGGUUAAGUCCCGCAACGAGCGCAACCCCUACGUUUAGUUGCUAACGCGUGAAGGCGAGCACUCUAGACGAACUGCCGUUGACAAAACGGAGGAAGGUGGGAUGACGUCAAAUCAUCAUGCCCCUUAUGUUCUGGGCUACACACGUGCUACAAUGGCCGGUACAGACGGACGCAAAGCCGCGAGGUGGAGCAAAUACCUAAAAAGCCGGUCUCAGUUCGGAUUGCAGGCUGCAAUUCGCCUGCAUGAAGUCGGAAUCGCUAGUAAUCGCAGGUCAGCAUACUGCGGUGAAUACGUUCCCGGGCCUU
rnacentral:rRNA from 1 species